rnacentral:rRNA from 1 species
AGAGUUUGAUCCUGGCUCAGGACGAACGCUGGCGGCGCGCCUAACACAUGCAAGUCGAACGAGAGAUGAGGAGCUUGCUCUUCAAAUCGAGUGGCGAACGGGUGAGUAACGCGUGAGGAACCUGCCUCAAAGAGGGGGACAACAGUUGGAAACGACUGCUAAUACCGCAUAAGCCCACGGCUCGGCAUCGAGCAGAGGGAAAAGGAGCAAUCCGCUUUGAGAUGGCCUCGCGUCCGAUUAGCUAGUUGGUGAGGUAACGGCCCACCAAGGCGACGAUCGGUAGCCGGACUGAGAGGUUGAACGGCCACAUUGGGACUGAGACACGGCCCAGACUCCUACGGGAGGCAGCAGUGGGGAAUAUUGCACAAUGGGGGAAACCCUGAUGCAGCGACGCCGCGUGGAGGAAGAAGGUCUUCGGAUUGUAAACUCCUGUUGUUGAGGAAGAUAAUGACGGUACUCAACAAGGAAGUGACGGCUAACUACGUGCCAGCAGCCGCGGUAAAACGUAGGUCACAAGCGUUGUCCGGAAUUACUGGGUGUAAAGGGAGCGCAGGCGGGAAGACAAGUUGGAAGUGAAAUCCAUGGGCUCAACCCAUGAACUGCUUUCAAAACUGUUUUUCUUGAGUAGUGCAGAGGUAGGCGGAAUUCCCGGUGUAGCGGUGGAAUGCGUAGAUAUCGGGAGGAACACCAGUGGCGAAGGCGGCCUACUGGGCACCAACUGACGCUGAGGCUCGAAAGUGUGGGUAGCAAACAGGAUUAGAUACCCUGGUAGUCCACACCGUAAACGAUGAUUACUAGGUGUUGGAGGAUUGACCCCUUCAGUGCCGCAGUUAACACAAUAAGUAAUCCACCUGGGGAGUACGACCGCAAGGUUGAAACUCAAAGGAAUUGACGGGGGCCCGCACAAGCAGUGGAGUAUGUGGUUUAAUUCGACGCAACGCGAAGAACCUUACCAAGUCUUGACAUCCCUUGACGAACAUAGAAAUAUGUUUUCUCUUCGGAGCAAGGAGACAGGUGGUGCAUGGUUGUCGUCAGCUCGUGUCGUGAGAUGUUGGGUUAAGUCCCGCAACGAGCGCAACCCUUAU